rnacentral:sRNA from 1 species
UCGUCGAUCUGUUGCGGGCAGAUGAAAUGGAUAUGCGCGUCAAGGCCCCCGGCCGUCAGGAUCCGGCCCUCGGCCGCGAUCACCUCGGUUCCGGGGCCGAUGACGAUAUCGACGCCGGGUUGCGUGUCGGGGUUGCCGGCCUUGCCGAUGGUGGCGAUGCGCCCGUCGCGCAGGCCGAUAUCUGCCUUGGUGAUGCCGGUGUGAUCGACGAUCAGCGCAUUGGUGAUCACGGUAUCCAUGGCCCCCUCGGCGCGGGUUGCCUGGGAUUGGCCCAUGCCGUCGCGG